GACGAACGCUGGCGGCGUGCCUAAUACAUGCAAGUAGAACGCUGAAGAGAGGAGCUUGCUCUUCUUGGAUGAGUUGCGAACGGGUGAGUAACGCGUAGGUAACCUGCCUUGUAGCGGGGGAUAACUAUUGGAAACGAUAGCUAAUACCGCAUAACAAUGGAUGACCCAUGUCAUUUAUUUGAAAGGGGCAAAUGCUCCACUACAAGAUGGACCUGCGUUGUAUUAGCUAGUAGGUGAGGUAACGGCUCACCUAGGCGACGAUACAUAGCCGACCUGAGAGGGUGAUCGGCCACACUGGGACUGAGACACGGCCCAGACUCCUACGGGAGGCAGCAGUAGGGAAUCUUCGGCAAUGGGGGCAACCCUGACCGAGCAACGCCGCGUGAGUGAAGAAGGUUUCGGAUCGUAAAGCUCUGUUGUGAGUCAAGAACGAGUGUGAGAGUGGAAAGUUCACACUGUGACGGUAGCUUACCAGAAAGGGACGGCUAACUACGUG
rnacentral:rRNA from 1 species